rnacentral:misc_RNA from 1 species
UCUCCGUUGGUGAACCAGCGGAGGGAUCAUUACAGGGCUCGCAAGACUCCUACAACCCUGUGAACUUAACUAUAAGCACGUUGCUUCGGCGGGUGUCUCGGAGGGGGUUCUCCCUCCCCGAGACGCUAAACCCGCCGGCAGCCUACUGUACUCUGUCUCUUUGCGUUGGCAUCUCGAGUACAAUCAAACAAGUUAAAACUUUCAACAACGGAUCUCUUGGUUCUG